UGGCGAACGGGUGAGUAAUACAUCGGAACGUGUCCGCUCGUGGGGGGACAACCAGCCGAAAGGUUGGCUAAUACCGCAUGAGUUCUACGGAAGAAAGAGGGGGACCGCAAGGGCCUCUCGCGAGCGGAGCGGCCGAUGACUGAUUAGCCGGUUGGUGAGGUAACGGCUCACCAAAGCAACGAUCAGUAGCUGGUCUGAGAGGACGACCAGCCACACUGGGACUGAGACACGGCCCAGACUCCUACGGGAGGCAGCAG
rnacentral:rRNA from 1 species